rnacentral:rRNA from 1 species
GACGAACGCUGGCGGCGUGCUUAACACAUGCAAGUCGAACGGAAAGGCCCUGCUUUUGUGGGGUGCUCGAGUGGCGAACGGGUGAGUAACACGUGAGUAACCUGCCCUUGACUUUGGGAUAACUUCAGGAAACUGGGGCUAAUACCGGAUAGGAGCUCCUGCUGCAUGGUGGGGGUUGGAAAGUUUCGGCGGUUGGGGAUGGACUCGCGGCUUAUCAGCUUGUUGGUGGGGUAGUGGCUUACCAAGGCUUUGACGGGUAGCCGGCCUGAGAGGGUGACCGGCCACAAUGGGACUGAGAGACGGCCCAGAAUCCUACGGGAGGCAGCAGUGGGGAAUAUUGCAGAAUGGGCGGAAGCCUGAGGCAGCAACGCCGCGUGCGGGAUGACGGCCUUCGGGUUGUAAACCGCUUUCGCCUGUGACGAAGCGUGAGUGACGGUAAUGGGUAAAGAAGCACCGGCUAACUACGUG